rnacentral:rRNA from 1 species
AACGAACGCUGGCGGCAGGCUUAACACAUGCAAGUCGAACGCACCGCAAGGUGAGUGGCAGACGGGUGAGUAACACGUGGGGAUCUGCCCAAUGGUACGGAAUAGCUCCGGGAAACUGGAAUUAAUACCGUAUGUGCCCUUCGGGGGAAGGAGUUAUCGCCAUUGGCUGAACCCGCGUCGUAUUAGCUAGUUGGGGUGGUAAAGGCGAACCAAGGCGACGAUCCGUAGCUGGGCUGAGAGGAUGAUCAGCCACACUGGAACUGAGACACGGCCCAGACUCCUACGGGAGGCAGCAGUGGGGAAUAUUGGACAAUGGGCGCAAGCCUGCUCCAGCCAGGCCGCGGGAGUGAUGAAGGCGCUAGGGUUGUAAAGCUCUUUCGCCGACGAAGAUAAUGACGGUAGUCGGAGAAGAAGCCCCGGCUAACUUCGUGCCAGCCGCCGCCGUAA